UUCAAUCUUAUUCGUUCGUUUGAUUGAUCAAACGGUUUUCAUUCAUUCUUAUUUUUUUCACGGCCCUAAACCUAAACUAAUUUUUUUUUCUUCAUUUUUUCAUCUUCUCAAUAAAAGAGAAGAAUGAACCCGCCGCCCUCUCUCUCGAUACCUCUCCAUAUUCUCUCCUCUCUUCCGUCUCUUCGCCGGCGACACCACCAAAAGGAACGAAGACACAGCAGCCACAGCCGUCGCCUUCUUCUUCUCCUCUCGAGCAGCCACGAACUGCAACCAGCAACAUCACCAACAGCUGCAGCAGCCCGCAGCAGCUUCUCCAGCAACUCCUCAGAAGCAACCAGCAGCUCAUCAGCAUCAACAGCAGCGACGAAAAACAGCAGCGGCAGCAACAAGCUGCAACUGGAAGCAACCACGGCGAGGUCGACGUUAACAGCAAGAGCACUGUUGCUCCACCGCUCCACCGACUAUGGCGAAAGACCGGUACUCUGAUCAGCGAACUAAAGAAUCCAUCAUAGUUAUUCUCUCCUCUCCAGCGAGACUUGAUCAUGGAGAUUUCAUUUUGUGAAGACGGAUCUGUCCCUGGAUUUGGAUUUCAAAUGCAAGACAUGAAGAUGUUCAUUUGGAACAGGAUUCAAUUGGUUUUAGUUCCGUUAUAUUAUUUCUAUUUGUGUAUUAUUCUUUCUUAAUUAUUUUGGCAUGUAAUAAUAAACUCUGUAUAUAAUAAAAGGGGGAGAAUACAUGGGGAGGAAAUAUACUUGCUACUUGCUUAUUUUAUUUAUUUUUUAGUUUAUCAUAAAUUUAUGUGUGCUUGUGAUA